AGUGAACGCUGGCGGUAGGCCUAACACAUGCAAGUCGAACGGCAGCACAGGAGAGCUUGCUCUCUAGGUGGCGAGUGGCGGACGGGUGAGGAAUACAUCGGAAUCUGCCCAGUCGUGGGGGAUAACGUAGGGAAACUUACGCUAAUACCGCAUACGACCUUCGGGUGAAAGAGGGGGAUCGCAAGACCUCUCGCGAUUGGAUGAGCCGAUGUCGGCUUAGCUAGUUAGCGGGGUAGUGGCCCACCAAGGCGACGAUCCGUAGCUGGUCUGAGAGGAUGAUCAGCCACACUGGAAGUGAGACACGGUCAAGACUCCUACGGGAGGCAGCAGUGGGGAAUAUUGGACAAUGGGCGCAAGCCUGAUCCAGCCAUACCGCGUGGGUGAAGAAGGCCUUCGGGUUGUAAAGCCCUUUUGUUGGGAAAGAAAUCUUUCAGGCUAAUACCCUGGGAGGAUGACGGUACCCAAAGAAUAAGCACCGGCUAACUUCGUG
rnacentral:rRNA from 1 species